rnacentral:snRNA from 1 species
GUAUCUUUAUCAAAACCUCACAUACACUAAAAUUGGAAUGAUACAGAGAAGAUUAGCGUGGCCCCUGUGCAAGGAUGACACGCAAAUUCGUGAGGCUUUCCAUAUUUUC